rnacentral:rRNA from 1 species
UGGGGAAUAUUGCACAAUGGGCGCAAGCCUGAUGCAGCCAUGCCGCGUGUAUGAAGAAGGCAUUCGGGUUGUAAAGUACUUUCAGUCGGGAGGAAGGUGGUAAGGUUAAUAACCUUGGCAAUUGACGUUACCGACAGAAGAAGCACCGGCUAACUCCGUGCCAGCAGCCGCGGUAAUACGGAGGGUGCAAGCGUUAAUCGGAAUUACUGGGCGUAAAGCGCACGCAGGCGGUUGAUUGAGUCAGAUGUGAAAUCCCCGGGCUUAACCCGGGAAUUGCAUCUGAUACUGGUCAGCUAGAGUCUUGUAGAGGGGGGUAGGAUUCCAUGUGUAGCGGUGAAAUGCGUAGGGAUGUGGAGGAAUACCGGUGGCGAAGGCGGCCCCCUGGACAAAGACUGACGCUCAGGUGCGAAAGCGUGGGGAGCAAACAGG